rnacentral:misc_RNA from 1 species
GAGGGUCGCAAGACCUCCCUAAUACCUCAACCAACCCGCGUACCUGCCCGAGGGAAUCAGUACGAUGCCUCGGUCGGCGGCCCCAGGGGGGGCCUCUGCCCAUCGCGCCUCUCGGGGCGCGAGGGUGCCGGCCGGCGGCCAAACACCAAACUUGACGUAUAAUAACCAUAAACUCUUAUAACAAUAACCAUUA